rnacentral:RNase_P_RNA from 1 species
GCCGCCGGCGCGUAGCGCGGGAGGAAAGUCCGGGCUCCGCAGGGCGUGAUGCAGGAGAAAUUCCUGCGGGUGCGAACCCAGGGAAAGUGCCGCAGAAAAGCAAACCGCCGCGAAAGCGGUAAGGAUGAAAAGGCGGGGUAAGAGCCCACCGGCCGCGAGGGGAACCCGCGGGCCUGGCAAACCCCAUCAGGAGCAAGGUCGAAUAGGGGAGGAUGAGGCGGCCCGCCGACUCCCGGGUACGACCGCUGAAGCCCGCGCGCAAGCGCGGGAUUAGAUAAAUGGCUGGCGGGGGACGUCCCCUUACAAAACCCGGCUUACAGGGUG